AAUAGAUACCCAGGUAGUCCAUGCCGUAAACGAUGUCUACUAGCCGUUGGGGCCCUUGAGGCUUUAGUGGCGCAGCUAACGCGAUAAGUAGACCGCCUGGGGAGUACGGUCGCAAGACUAAAACUCAAAUGAAUUGACGGGGGCCCGCACAAGCGGUGGAGCAUGUGGUUUAAUUCGAUGCAACGCGAAGAACCUUACCUGGCCUUGACAUACAGAGAACUUUCCAGAGAUGGAUUGGUGCCUUCGGGAACUCUGAUACAGGUGCUGCAUGGCUGUCGUCAGCUCGUGUCGUGAGAUGUUGGGUUAAGUCCCGCAACGAGCGCAACCCUUUUCCUUAUUUGCCAGCACUUCGGGUGGGAACUUUAAGGAUACUGCCAGUGACAAACUGGAGGAAGGCGGGGACGACGUCAAGUCAUCAUGGCCCCUUACGGCCAGGGCUACACACGUGCUACAAUGGUCGGUACAAAGGGUUGCUACUGCGCGAGCAGAUGCUAAUCUCAAAAAGCCGAUCGUAGUCCGGAUCGC
rnacentral:rRNA from 1 species